UGGGGAAUAUUGCACAAUGGGCGCAAGCCUGAUGCAGCCAUGCCGCGUGUAUGAAGAAGGCCUUCGGGUUGUAAAGUACUUUCAGCGGGAGGAAGGCGAUAAGGUUAAUAACCUUGUCGAUUGACGUUACCCGCAGAAGAAGCACCGGCUAACUCCGUGCCAGCAGCCGCGGUAAUACGGAGGGUGCAAGCGUUAAUCGGAAUUACUGGGCGUAAAGCGCACGCAGGCGGUCUGUCAAGUCGGAUGUGAAAUCCCCGGGCUCAACCUGGGAACUGCAUUCGAAACUGGCAGGCUAGAGUCUUGUAGAGGGGGGUAGAAUUCCAGGUGUAGCGGUGAAAUGCGUAGAGAUCUGGAGGAAUACCGGUGGCGAAGGCGGCCCCCUGGACAAAGACUGACGCUCAGGUGCGAAAGCGUGGGGAGCAAACA
rnacentral:rRNA from 1 species